UACGGGGGGGGCAAGCGUUGUUCGGAAUUACUGGGCGUAAAGGGUUCGUGGGUGGCUCGCUAAGUCAGACGUGAAAUCCCUCAGCUUAACCGGGGAACUGCGUCUGAUACUGGAUGGCUUGAGUGUGGGAGAGGGAUGCGGAAUUCCAGGUGUAGCGGUGAAAUGCGUAGAUAUCUGGAGGAACACCGGUGGCGAAGGCGGCAUCCUGGACCAUUACUGACACUGAGGAGCGAAAGCCAGGGGAGCAAACGGG
rnacentral:rRNA from 1 species